UCUCUAAUGACCAAAAAAAAAAAAAAAAAAAAAAAGCAUAAUAAGGGACUCUCUCCCUCUCUCUCUUCAUCCCACCAAUAAAGAUGCCCUAAGAUAAUUUAUCCCGACGAUGGCAACUUUAAAUUUCAUCAACGUAACGCAGGCACGCAACUUUAUGCUAAGCCUACGUGGCAACUUUAAAUUUCGAAAACAAUAAAAUAAAAAGUCAAAACUGUUAUAAGAGAACGAGGCAAAUUCGUAUUCAUACACACAAAGCUAAAAAAAAAUGAGAACUACUGAAUUUUCAUCUUCGUCGUCGCCAAGCGAUCGCAGGGUCGGUGCAUUGCUCCGUCAUCUCACCGCCGGGGCAUGCCAGAUUAAUCCGUCAACGUAUCGUCUGAGCUCCAUUUUCGCCUCGCUGACAUCGGGAGUCUCAUCCGGUUCUGUUUUCGCUCAUCUUGUCCAAGCUCCAGAGGAUCCUAUUCUUGGGGUGCAAAUCACUAUGGUAUCCACGAAAUGCGAUAAGAGUAAAAAAAACGGAAAAUGGAAGGAAGAGAUAUUAGAUUCAAGGAUUCUUUGAGACAACACAACUAUGGACUACUAGCAGUGUGACAAAUCAAGGUUGGGACGAGACAUUGUUGCAUAUGGCUCAGCUAAGAAACUAAUGGCUCAAACACUAAAAAACUCUAAACCACACUUCUCAAUUCUCAUGAUUAUAGACUUAUAAUAUAACAAAGAACAACCAAAAAAACAGUGUACCGUUUCUUUGGCAAUAUGUUUUGAUUAAUGUCAUGCUAAGAUUUUGUUUUUUUGUUCUGUAUACAAAUUUGUCACUGCUCUCUUGAAUCUUGCUGGAACUUUAACUAGUACAUACGAAUAUAGUAUAAUUUAGAUAAAAAUGUUGUAUUUAACAUCUUGCGGGGAUAGCUCAGUUGGGAGAGCGUCAGACUGAAGAUCUGAAGGUCGCGUGUUCGAUCCACGCUCACCGCAAUCUAAUUUUUUUUUAAUUUUGUGGCUACGUGGGCCAUAAAAGUUCUCUAGGCCCAACCAGCUUAGCAUUUAAUUUUGUGAGUGCGAUAAUAAAUGCGUGGCCCAUAUAAUAAGAGCCCAGUAUCUCUCUAAACAUAUUCUCCUAAUUCUUUAGGUUCCAAAAUGUCAAACAAUUAAGGUCUACCGUAAUCUUU